GACGAACGCUGGCGGCGUGCUUAACACAUGCAAGUCGAACGGAAAGGCACUGCUUUUGUGGGGUGCUCGAGUGGCGAACGGGUGAGUAACACGUGAGUAACCUGCCCUUGACUUUGGGAUAACUUAAGGAAACUGGGGCUACUACCGGAUAGGAGCUCCUGCUGCAGGGAGGGGGUUGGAAAUUUUCUGCGGUUGGGGAUGGACGCGCGGCUUAUCAGCUUGUUGGUGGGGUAGUGGCAUACCAAGGCUUUGACGGGUAGCCGGCCUGAGAGGGUGACCGGCCACAUUGGGACUGAGAUACGGACCAGACUCCUACGGGAGGCAGCAGUGGGGAAUAUUGCACAGUGGGCGGGAGCCUGAUGCAGCAACGCCGCGUGCGGGAUGACGGCCUUCGGGUUGUGAACCGCUUUCGCCUGUGACGAAGCGUGAGUGACGGUAAUGGGUAAAGAAGCACCGGCUAACUACGUG
rnacentral:rRNA from 1 species